rnacentral:tRNA from 1 species
AGCAAGGUCAGCUAAAUAAGCUAUCGGGCCCAUACCCCGAAAAUGCCAUACAGGCCCCUGCUA